CUUUUUAGUUCAGCAGGUGCAACAGAAUGAGGUCUGGGAAUGAACACCCAGGCUUGGUAUGGAAGAUAAAAUGGGGAACAAUAGAUAGCUCUGGAGAGAAUAUGUGCAUAUCAGGCUGUCUGCUAAUUCUGGCAUCCUGGAAGCAAAGGCAAAACACAAGAAAACCCACCUUUUCAAGGAAGGAAGGGUGGGGGAUAAGAAACGAGAGAUAAAGGAGAGAAAAAGCAGAGAUAGAAGGAAAAGAAAAAGGUUGUUCUUUCCAUUAUUAAUGCCAUACCGAGUCAGAGAGCCAUUUGUGAUGGAAUAAGGUACUCUAAAUCCUGUAAAUGAAUCUGCAGUACUCGCGGAUAUUCUCCAACACAUUCUAAAAUGUACUGCAAGUUUUUGGAAGAUGUUUUUAUCUUACUGUAUAUGCCCUGU
ensembl:lncRNA